GACAGAGGGGGCAAGCGUUGCUCGGAAUCACUGGGCGUAAAGGGCGCGUAGGCGGGAUGGCAAGUCAGUCGUGAAAUCUCUCGGCUCAACCGAGAAACGUCGGCUGAUACUGCCGUUCUUGAGGGAUGCAGAGGAGACUGGAAUUCCCGGUGUAGCGGUGAAAUGUGUAGAGAUCGGGAGGAACACCGGUGGCGAAGGCGGGUCUCUGGGCAUUUCCUGACGCUGAGGCGCGAAGCGUGGGGAGCAAACGGG
rnacentral:rRNA from 1 species